rnacentral:rRNA from 1 species
GCAAGUCGAACGAUGAAGCCUAGCUUGCUGGGUGGAUUAGUGGCGAACGGGUGAGUAACACGUGAGUAACCUGCCCCUGACUCUGGGAUAAGCCUGGGAAACUGGGUCUAAUACCGGAUAUGACCUCUUGCCGCAUGGUGGGUGGUGGAAAGAUUUAUCGGUUGGGGAUGGACUCGCGGCCUAUCAGCUUGUUGGUGGGGUAAUGGCCUACCAAGGCGACGACGGGUAGCCGGCCUGAGAGGGUGACCGGCCACACUGGGACUGAGACACGGCCCAGACUCCUACGGGAGGCAGCAGUGGGGAAUAUUGCACAAUGGGCGCAAGCCUGAUGCAGCGACGCCGCGUGAGGGAUGACGGCCUUCGGGUUGUAAACCUCUUUCAGUAGGGAAGAAGCGUAAGUGACGGUACCUGCAGAAGAAGCGCCGGCUAACUACGUGCCAGCAGCCGCGGUAAUACGUAGGGCGCAAGCGUUAUCCGGAUUUAUUGGGCGUAAAGAGCUCGUAGGCGGUUUGUCGCGUCUAUCGUGAAAGACCAGGGCUCAACCCUGGUUCUGCGGUGGGUACGGGCAGACUAGAGUGAUGUAGGGGAGACUGGAAUUCCUGGUGUAGCGGUGAAAUGCGCAGAUAUCAGGAGGAACACCGAUGGCGAAGGCAGGUCUCUGGGCAUUUACUGACGCUGAGGAGCGAAAGCAUGGGGAGCGAACAGGAUUAGAUACCCUGGUAGUCCAUGCCGUAAACGUUGGGCACUAGGUGUGGGGGACAUUCCACGUUUUCCGCGCCGUAGCUAACGCAUUAAGUGCCCCGCCUGGGGAGUACGGCCGCAAGGCUAAAACUCAAAGGAAUUGACGGGGGCCCGCACAAGCGGCGGAGCAUGCGGAUUAAUUCGAUGCAACGCGAAGAACCUUACCAAGGCUUGACAUGUUCCAGACCGCUCCAGAGAUGGGGUUUCCCUUCGGGGCUGGUUCACAGGUGGUGCAUGGUUGUCGUCAGCUCGUGUCGUGAGAUGUUGGGUUAAGUCCCGCAACGAGCGCAACCCUCGUUCCAUGUUGCCAGCACGUAGUGGUGGGGACUCAUGGGAGACUGCCGGGGUCAACUCGGAGRAAGGUGGGGAUGACGUCAAAUCAUCAUGCCCC